AUUAUCUAGGGCUCCACACACUCGCCUGGGUAGGACACAAACAAUCCUUGAGCAGACCUAGGGAAGAUGCAAAUAAGGGUGGAAUGGGUCUCAGAAAAGUGCCCUCAAAUCGUCUGAGUCCUUCUGAGAGGAUGUCUGCAAGAACUAAAGGGAGCAGUGGCUUCUCCUAGAUGACAAUGAAGUUGUAGAAGUUAAAAGGCUUUAAAAGGUUUAGAGUAUUUCUGCUAUGUCCGGAGAUGUGAAGAGGACACACUCCAAAAGAAAAAAAAAAAAAGAAAAGAAAAAAAAGAAAAAAAAGAAAAAGAAAAAAAAAAAAAAAGAAAAAAAAAGAAAAAAAAAGAAAAAAAGAAAAAAAAAAAGGAGUCAACUUUCUGUGCUACCCACCUGAGCACUGAGUCUUCAGCUGUGACAGGAGACUUCAGAGCAAGACCUCUACAGACUAAAGGGUUCAUAAAGGAGUUCACUGAUACCUUGUUGACAAUGGUGAUGAAAUACCCUGACUUGUCAUCCUGGGAGAUUUCAACACACACAUCGACAAGGCUGCAGAUAUGAAGUCCCACAAACUCACCUCCUGGCUUUCCUCCCAAACACUCUCCGGCAUGCCCCUGGAAGAGCAGCGCUGCACAGGUGGGCCAAGGUGCUGAGGAUUAGGGAAGUUCCUCCUCCCCUGCAUGAGUCCCUUAAGGUUCUCAGUCCCCAGAAGCACCUCAUUCCCUUCACCCUCACAGAGUGCCUCAGAGCUGCUGUCCUGCUGGAUUGGAGAGGAGAGAUAAGGAAGCCACGGCAGGAACCAGGAGAGCAACCCUGAAAAAAAAUCUGCCUUCAUGUGUCUGGUUCUGACCUUGGUGACACUGCAUGAGAGGCCAAGGAGAUUUCCUGAGCUGCAACAGCAAAGCAGCAAACACCUCUGUAUCCUCUUGCAGGGAUACCUCCAGUCAAAGUGGCCACAGGGAAAAGCCAGCAAUCAUGCUGCUAAGAACCCUGGGUGAUGACUCAAGGGAUUCACUAAAGUCCAAAUUGGCUGUCAAACCAAGAGUGGGCAAGGAGCUGUGGAGGUUUGUUACCUUUUUGAAAUUUGUUUUCUUUGUUUUCAAAUCAUGUACAACCUUUGGGAGAUGUUUCUUGGCAAAAAAGUAAGUUAUGCUCCUGCCCACACAAGCUCUGAUAGAUAAAUUUGAGUUGAAAUCAAAACACUCAGCUAUAGACUUUGGUUUUUUUUUUUCCUCUCUCUCUUCAGAUUGGACUGUGAAAUAGAGAGCAUGAUUUUCUUGCCUUAACUUUGGUUUUUCCCCUGUCUGUUUUGGUUUCCUAAUGAACAGUCAUAGAUCCUCUAUGGUAUCCUGCUACUGUAGGAAAAACUGGACAGAAACAAACCUAGUUGCUGAAAUAAUGAUGAGGAAAAUGUCCCUUUGCUUCCUGUUGACAGAAGUAGCUCAUUGCUAGUCAAUUAGGCCUUUGACAUGAUCAUCAGAAUAAAGCUGUUAAUGUAAAUGGAGACAUGUAUUUUUAAAAUUACUUGCUAGAAAACUCACAGUCAUCAUUCCCAAAAUCAGUGAAUCUUGUCUCACAGGUGCAGUUACCACGAACUUUUUUAGUGUUUUUAUUUUCAUCCAAGCAUAACAGAACUUGACUCUAGAUCACAUACCUUCUGUUACUGAAAUCUGAGUAAUGCAUUAAGUAAUGGACGAAUCUGUCUGGAUUGACUAAUGUGGUUACAGGAUUUCAUCCUGAUUUGAGAUGCAUGAAUCAGGGAUGAGAAGAGCCAUUUUUAAUAACGUGCAGAUACCCCUUGGGGACCCCAGGAGGAGGGGGCUGUUUGGGUGCCCGCACUCCCCACCUGCAUGUGCCACCCACCCACCUCCCUGCCUUCUUUUUUUCUCUGCCCCCUUUUUUUUGUCAUUUUUUCCUGGAGCAUUGCCUAAAGGAAUGAAUUAAGGCUGUUAGGGUCUGGGUUGAUGUUGUGAUGUUUAUAGCCCCAAAAGCGUGAUGAUUGUUUUAUGGUGUUUGUGUUUUGGCAUCAGUGAUGCCGUGAUGUUUGCGCUGCGAUGUUGUCAUCUGGGGAGGGCAGGGCCACGGCUACAUUACAUAUAUGUAUCCCAUGCGUGGUGUAAAAUGCACAUAUAAAUCAUACAAAUGCUGAGUUCCUGGGACGUGGGAUAGGGGCCCUCAUCCCCCAAGCAAGUGCUCGUGAGGAACAAGUGCGCAGUUGCGCAGCCAGGCAUGAAAUGGCUGAGGGUGACUUGCAAACCCAACAGCCAGCCAGGAUGGCCAGCACUGCAGGAUACCAUGCAAUCUUCUGUCAAAAGAAAUGCCACAUAUUGGACUAAAAGUAUGCAGCUCUUGCUUGUGUCUUCAGACAACUCUCCUUAGCAAGGUGGAAGUGGGCUUUGGGGCCAGGAUGCACGGUCUGGAAUUGCUGGUGUUCCCAUAUGGGUGCUGAGGUGGGCACUUAAAUUUCUUCAGAGUGGUGUGGUAUUUAUGGAUGAAGCCCUUGUCCAGGAGAACUUCCUGCUCUGCUCUUACUGGGCCUCUCACAGGGGCUGCUGGAGCCAAAGCAGAGUGAUAGACCAGACCAGCAGAAACAGCAGUGCAGCCCAGAGGAAAAGAGUUUCUCAGGAAAUAUCGUCACUACUCUCUGCUCACAAAUAAAUCACAAUUUGAUUUUUGGGAGCAAUUUCUCUCUGAGCUAAAGACUAUUCUGAUGCCUGCUCUUUCCCAAUAUAUCUUUCAGCAGCUGAAGUGCUGCUGAAGACAUCAUAAUGCAAAUUGAAAUACUUUUCUGCUCUCAUCCAUCAGACCUGGUAGUGCUUCCCUGCAUAUCUUGUGGACCUUUAAGUUGAGUGUGAACCAUGUUUCUGUCUCAGUGACCACAUGUGAGAACUGUGCAUUUCAUGAUCUCUUCCCCCCCACCCCUUACUAUUGUUAUCAAACUUUUGUCACCAGUUUCUGUUUCAUUAGCCAAUGUGUAAUCUGUAAAUGCCAGACCCCUGGUCCCAUCCACAGGGCAGAUUUAAAUGUCCUUCUUUAGCUAAACUGUGUUUUUUGCUUGAUCUGUCAGCACUCUUACUGCAUAUGCUCCAACAAACCAAGUGCCUUUGUUCUCCUAAAGCAAUCCUGCCUCAGGCUAUCCUUCCAGUAGAACAUUAGUUCUUUUGUUUGGAUAAAAGGGUGUCAUCACUCAUUCAUGAUGAGAAUAUGAUUCAGCCCCUUCUCCUCACAUUCACGGUCCAGUCUUCAUAAAUACUUGCUUUUACAGCAUAUUGUAUGUGUAUUCAAACGGCUGACAUCAGUGGGCCAAAUUGUGCCCUAACAUGAAUGUGCUCCAGUCCUGCUGUUCACGUUGGAGGAAUUGUGGAGAGCCUAAAUUGGAAGAAAGUAUGAUCUGUACCCAGUCCCAUUCAGAUGUUUGCAUGUUUGGGUUUUUUUAGUGCCAUUAAAAAUUUUAAAUAAAAUGUUCCCUCAUCUGAAACAAGUGAGGUUUAAACAGCAGCCCACUAAAGUACAUGUGAUUGUUUUCCCACCUGCUUUGCUGAACUUUUGGUCCAUGCCUACCAAGAAACCUCCUUAGUGUUGCUAUUAUCAUGUCAGCUUCAGAUAGAUGGGCAAAAUUUUGGGUGCUCAAUUGAAUUUACUGGAGGUGCACUUCUAAAACUUCCCCGUUACGUGUACCUUCUUCUUUACUGAACUAAGUAUUUGACUACUGCAAUUUCUCUCCUAGGAAGAUGUAUUUGGGCAGGAAUACCACUGAAAGGCAGUGAAUAACAACAACAACAACAACAACACCCACUAGAGCUUCUUGCUCUGCUCCUGAAACUUCAGAAUUGUUAUUAUGUCUGUAAAGCAGGGAGUGGCAAGUACAAUAAUUUCUCUCUGCUCUGUGGUUCCACCACUCUCUGAUUUUCCAAAUCAGAGCUGUACAUGAACAGUAUAAAGUGUAUGGACUGUGUCCCAAACUGGAUCUCUGCCAGUUCAAGGGAGAACUGAGGAUGUGAAAAGACUUCUAAAAUGUAUAAAAAUACUUGGACUGCAUUGAUUUAGCUUUAUGCUAGGUUUAUUUAAUGGUAGUGAGGGUGUGGUGUAAAUCCCUAUAGUUUGGGUUUUUUUUUUCUGGGCAAAACCUCCUAAAAUUUGCUGCAAUCGAGCUGAAAGAUAUAGAGAGAUACAGGAUACAAGUGACUUUAAAAUAAUUCCUCACAACAUCUGUUAACACUGAGACGAGCUAAUGUUGCUUUAUUUCAAGAACUAAGGAAGUGGAAAAGAGCCUUAAGGAAAACACAUUAGGAUAAGGUUAAGGAAGAACGUAGAGCAUAUGGUGGCACAUGGGUAAGGAGGCCGGGAUUAUCUCGGUUAAUAACUCACCCAACACACUGCUUUUCUAAUCUCUUAAUUUCCAUAUUUACCUUAAAG